AACGAACGCUGGCGGCAUGCCUAACACAUGCAAGUCGAACGAGACCUUCGGGUCUAGUGGCGCACGGGUGCGUAACGCGUGGGAAUCUGCCCUUGGGUUCGGAAUAACUCGCCGAAAGGCGUGCUAAUACCGGAUGAUGACGUAAGUCCAAAGAUUUAUCGCCCAAGGAUGAGCCCGCGUUGGAUUAGCUAGUUGGUGAGGUAAAGGCUCACCAAGGCGACGAUCCAUAGCUGGUCUGAGAGGAUGAUCAGCCACACUGGGACUGAGACACGGCCCAGACUCCUACGGGAGGCAGCAGUGGGGAAUAUUAGACAAGGGGCGAAAGCCUGAUCCAGCAAUGCCGCGUGAGUGAUGAAGGCCUUAGGGUUGUAAAGCUCUUUUACCCGGGAUGAUAAUGACCGUACCGGGAGAAUAAGCACCGGCUAACUCCGUG
rnacentral:rRNA from 1 species